AUCGCUUCUCGGCCUUUUGGCUAAGAUCAAGUGUAGUAUCUAUUCUUAUCAGUUUAAAACUAGUGGUGAAAUGAGAUGUAGACAGUAACAUUUGAAUUACAACAUCA
ensembl:snRNA U2 U2 spliceosomal RNA